rnacentral:rRNA from 1 species
UCAGGACGAACGCUGGCGGCGUGCCUAAUACAUGCAAGUCGAACGCUUCUUUCCUCCCGAGUGCUUGCACUCAAUUGGAAAGAGGAGUGGCGGACGGGUGAGUAACACGUGGGUAACCUACCCAUCAGAGGGGGAUAACACUUGGAAACAGGUGCUAAUACCGCAUAACAGUUUAUGUCGCAUGGCAUAAGAGUGAAAGGCGCUUUCGGGUGUCGCUGAUGGAUGGACCCGCGGUGCAUUAGCUAGUUGGUGAGGUAACGGCUCACCAAGGCCACGAUGCAUAGCCGACCUGAGAGGGUGAUCGGCCACACUGGGACUGAGACACGGCCCAGACUCCUACGGGAGGCAGCAGUAGGGAAUCUUCGGCAAUGGACGAAAGUCUGACCGAGCAACGCCGCGUGAGUGAAGAAGGUUUUCGGAUCGUAAAACUCUGUUGUUAGAGAAGAACAAGGACGUUAGUAACUGAACGUCCCCUGACGGUAUCUAACCAGAAAGCCACGGCUAACUACGUGCCAGCAGCCGCGGUAAUACGUAGGUGGCAAGCGUUGUCCGGAUUUAUUGGGCGUAAAGCGAGCGCAGGCGGUUUCUUAAGUCUGAUGUGAAAGCCCCCGGCUCAACCGGGGAGGGUCAUUGGAAACUGGGAGACUUGAGUGCAGAAGAGGAGAGUGGAAUUCCAUGUGUAGCGGUGAAAUGCGUAGAUAUAUGGAGGAACACCAGUGGCGAAGGCGGCUCUCUGGUCUGUAACUGACGCUGAGGCUCGA